ensembl:snoRNA
ACCCUCUUGUGGUUUGUAAGCAUGAUGAUUGUGUUUUACACUCAUUUGUAAAAUGUGCCUUCCUCAAACCUUAUUACCAUGUUGGCACAUUACCUGUCUGAUG